rnacentral:rRNA from 1 species
UACGUAGGGGGCAAGCGUUGUCCGGAUUUACUGGGCGUAAAGGGCGCGUAGGCGGCAAUUCAAGUCAUCUGUGAAAUCUCCGGGCUUAACUCGGAACGGUCAGAUGAUACUGCUUUGCUAGAGUGCGGAAGGGGCAAUCGGAAUUCUCGGUGUAGCGGUGAAAUGCGUAGAUAUCGAGAGGAACACCAGAGGUGAAGACGGGUUGCUGGGCCGACACUGACGCUGAGGCGCGAAAGCCAGGGGAGCAAACGGG